GGGGCGGGGGUUGGCGCUCGAGGGGCUGAUGUGUGGCGCCCGCGCGCAGUGAGGGGAGGAAGGGGCAAGGCGUUAAAAAUAUAUAUGAUGCAAUAGCAUCACUUGAGAAAGGCUUCUGUGCCUCGUAACUCCAUUUUGCUCGCACAAUUGCACUUAGUGUUAAUAUGUAGAGAUAUACCUGCUCAGCAGAUGGGUCACCUUGGGAGUCAAAUGUAUACUUCAGAUUUCUGUUCCGGAUAGUCAACAGAAACUUACAGUUUGGUGGGCCAAUCUACGUGUCUGGUGAAGGCGAUAUUUUCAGAAGCUGUGGAAUGGAAUUGAAGUAAACCUUGGUCAAGAAGACUCUGGCUCAUCAUUUAAGCAUGCCUGAACAUCUGCUUUAAAGGCAGAAAUGUCUGUGUCUGCCUGGACCCUGCUGGAUCAUGAGAAAUGGAAAGCUUGGCAAUGCUUUAGACAAGCUGAGAUCACAAAGAAGAUAUAAGGUGUUCUACUCCCCACAGCCAGCAGCACUAGGCUGGCAAGGCUUUAGUCAAGCUGAGAUCAUGCCCCAGGAUGAAGACGACUUGUUGGCAGUUUUGAACGGCCUUCAUGAAGUUCCUUGUACCCCAGUAAGGUUCAAGAAUAUGUUAGUCCAACCAAACAAUUAAAUAAAAACAAAACACUUGUUCUACAGGAGUUUGCUUCUGGUGUCAUUUACUAAUACAGAACUGAAAUUUAGUAAGAAAAGAGUGAAUCAGAAGACAGGAAAAUGAAGAGGUGCAGAGAGAUCAGAAAGAGAUUACCUCCAUGCUAGAGCUCACAUUGCUUGAUUUUAUUUUUGCUUUCUAAUACAUUUCUGCUUGUUGAGGUCUUUGGAGCCCAGCUUGCCUUUUUGCCUUCUCUCGGAGAGAAGGGGUUUCUUGUUUUGAGCAUGUCCUUCCUCUAGCUUUAGAAGCUACUUUAGCAAUUAAUUCUGAGCUAGUCUUUUGGGGUCUAGACGUCUGGUGCGUGCAUGGUUUUGACUAUAUGCAGUUUUUAUAUCAUUUUGUUCCUUCCAAAAAUCCUUUUAAUUUUAGUUUAUUCUGUUUAUUCCCUUGUGAAGCUCAGACUUUACUAUUCCAAUUUAAAACAUUUCCCCCUAUUUUUACGUGAACUUAUUUCCCAUUAGUACCAUUCUGGAUCCUAUACGCUGGAUUCAUGUUCGGCAGCUUCUCCUCAGAGCCUACAGAAGGCAGUUUCAAAAUUCCUGCUUGGAUUGUUAGCUAUAAAGCACUUGUUAGCUAUAAGGCAAUUUUGGAUUAGAUUGCUAUAUGGCCAAAAAAAAUAAACACUAAGCUUUUAACUAGUUUGGAUUGCUGGAAGUUUUAGGAGGAUGCAAGUUAGGGCUUAGAAAUAUUUGUGUUUUAUCAGUAGAUGUUAGGUUAAUUGGUUUGUAUAUGAUCUGUAUGGGAUAUCUUCGGGUGAAGAAAAGGCUAAGGAGUAAACCCUACACAAAUCUGGAGUCCGUAAUAUGGUUGGAUGGAACCUUGCACGCCCCCUUCUAACAACUCCUGCAGCCAAGCUAGUGCCAAAUGUAUUGCUCCGUUUUCCUUUGGACCACAUCAGCAAGGCCGAGAGGGAGGCCUUAUCCCAGGCU